rnacentral:rRNA from 1 species
CUACGGGUUGCAGCAGUGAGGAAUAUUGCGCAAUGGGGGCAACCCUGACGCAGCGACGCCGCGUGGAUGAUGAAGGCCUUCGGGUCGUAAAAUCCUGUCAAGUGGAAAGAAGUGCAUGGUGGUUAAUACCCAUCAUGUUUGACGGUACCACUGAAGGAAGCACCGGCUAACUCCGUGCCAGCAGCCGCGGUAAUACGGAGGGUGCAAGCGUUGUUCGGAAUUACUGGGCGUAAAGCGCGCGUAGGCGGUUUUAUAAGUCAGAUGUGAAAGCCCAUGGCUCAACCAUGGACGUGCAUUUGAAACUGUGAGACUUGGGUAUUGGAGGGGGUGGUGGAAUUCCCGGUGUAGAGGUGAAAUUCGUAGAUAUCGGGAGGAAUACCAGUGGCGAAGGCGACCACCUGGCCAAAUACUGACGCUGAGGUGCGAAAGCGUGGGGAGCAAACAGGAUUAGAUACCCCCGUAGUC